UCAGUGCAGAGGUCCCAAACGAUGAAGAUCUACAGGUAACAGGAGUCACCGUCACUCUGGACACCCCACAGGAAGCACCGGCAGAGGGCAGCACUGAAGUAGUCCCGCAGAUUGUAACUACAGGGUUUUACUCGGGAACAAGCUUCUAAACAAUCCUAAAGAAGAAAGCGACGACGAAGAUGCAGGUGAUGCACCAUUUGGCUCGACGCACAACAACAGUCAACUCUGCACAGAUUGUGGAAGGUUUUUCAAUAAGUUUAAGUCUCACACAUGUGUACACA